rnacentral:rRNA from 1 species
CCCCUAGAUGUUCUGGGCCGCACGCGCGCUACACUGAACAGUUCAACAAGUCUUAACCUUGGCCGAUAGGUCUGGGUAAUCUUUGAACGCUGUUCGUGAUUGGGAUAGACCUUUGCAAUUAUGGGUCUUCAACGAGGAAUUCCUAGUAAACGCAAGUCAUCAGCUUGCAUUGAUUACGUCCCUGCCCUUUGUACACACCGCCCGUCGCACCUACCGAUUGAAUGGUCCGGUGAAAUCUCGGGACGGCGGCUUGGUCGCUUGCGUCCGUCUGCUGAAACUUGAUUAAACCAUAUCAUUUAGAGGAAGGUGAANUCGUAACA